rnacentral:rRNA from 1 species
GAUGAACGCUGGCGGCGUGCCUAAUACAUGCAAGUCGAGCGGACAGACGAGGAGCUUGCUCCUCUGGCGUUAGCCGCGCACGUGUGAGUAACAUGGGGAUAACCUCCCUAUCAGGGGGGGGUCCCUUCGGAACACCGGUGCUAAUACCUGAGAAUAUCUUGAACCACCUGGUUCACUUGUGGACGACGGCUUUGCUGUCACUUAUAGAUUGAUCCGCGCCGCAUUAGCUAGUUGGUAUGGUAACGGCUUACCAAGGCGACGAUGAGUAGCCGACCUGAGAGGGUGAUCGGCCACACUGGAACUGAGACACGGUCCAGACUCCUACGGGAGGCAGCAGUAGGGAAUCUUCGGCAAUGGGCGAAAGCCUGACGGAGCAACGCCGCGUGUGUGAUGAAGGUCUUCGGAUCGUAAAGCUCUGUUAUUCGGGAAGAACAACUGUGUACGUAACCAUGCACGUCUUGACGGUACCUGAUCAAAAAGCACCGGCUAACUACGUG